rnacentral:rRNA from 1 species
UCAAGUCUGCUGUCAAAGACUAGGGCUUAACCCUGGAGAGGCGGUGGAAACUGGUGGACUAGAGUACGGUAGGGGUAGAGGGAGUUCCCAGUGUAGCGGUGAAAUGCGUAGAGAUUGGGAAGAACACCAGUGGCGAAGGCGCUCUACUGGACCUGUACUGACACUCAGGGACGAAAGCUAGGGGAGCGAAAGGGAUUAGAUACCCCUGUAGUCCUAGCUGUAAACGAUGGAUACUAGGCGUUGCUUGUAUCGACCCGAGCAGUGCCGUAGCUAACGCGUUAAGUAUCCCGCCUGGGGAGUACGCACGCAAGUGUGAAACUCAAAGGAAUUGACGGGGGCCCGCACAAGCGGUGGAGUAUGUGGUUUAAUUCGAUGCAACGCGAAGAACCUUACCAGGACUUGACAUCCCGCGAAUUUUUCUGAAAAGAGAAAGUGCCUUCGGGAACGCGGAGACAGGUGGUGCAUGGCUGUCGUCAGCUCGUGUCGUGAGAUGUUGGGUUAAGUCCCGCAACGAGCGCAACCCUCGUUCUUAGUUGCCAGCAUUAAGUUGGGCACUUUAAGGAGACUGCCGGUGACAAACCGAAGGAAGGUGGGGAUGACGUCAAGUCAGCAUGCCCCUUACGUUCUGGGCUACACACGUACUACAAUGGUUGGGACAAAGGGCAGCGAGCGAGUAAUCGUCAGCGAAUCUCAUCAAACCCAGCCUCAGUUCAGAUUGCAGGCUGCAACUCGCCUGC